UAGCGGUGAAAUGCGUAGAGAUCUGGAGGAAUACCGGUGGCGAAGGCGGCCCCCUGGACAAAGACUGACGCUCAGGUGCGAAAGCGUGGGGAGCAAACAGGAUUAGAUACCCUGGUAGUCCACGCCGUAAACGAUGUCUACUUGGAGGUUGUGCCCUUGAGGCGUGGCUUCCGGAGCUAACGCGUUAAGUAGACCGCCUGGGGAGUACGGCCGCAAGGUUAAAACUCAAAUGAAUUGACGGGGGCCCGCACAAGCGGUGGAGCAUGUGGUUUAAUUCGAUGCAACGCGAAGAACCUUAC
rnacentral:rRNA from 1 species